UACGAAGGGGGCUAGCGUUGUUCGGAAUUACUGGGCGUAAAGCGCACGUAGGCGGAUACUUAAGUUAGGGGUGAAAUCCCAGGGCUCAACCCUGGAACUGCCUUUAAUACUGGGUAUCUCGAGUCCGAGAGAGGUGAGUGGAAUUCCGAGUGUAGAGGUGAAAUUCGUAGAUAUUCGGAGGAACACCAGUGGCGAAGGCGGCUCACUGGCUCGGUACUGACGCUGAGGUGCGAAAGCGUGGGGAGCAAACAGGAUUAGAAACCCCAGUAGUCC
rnacentral:rRNA from 1 species